AGAAGCAUGCACAUCUUUUGGUAGCAUCUGGUUCAAAGGAACCAAUCAACACAACCAAUCGAAGAGGAAAUACAAAAGCAGGAAGGACACUGAAGUAGCAUAUGCAGAAGGACAAAGAAAUUUGUAGACUUGAUGCAAGGAUUAGGCAGAACCUUGCUGCCAUGCAGUAGUUGGAACAUGAGCUUGGGGCCAUGUUUUCCUUUGAUUAUAGGCAAGUUUUUAUCAACUCAAUCUGGUCAAACUUUAGAACUGAAAGGCUAAAUCUUGCCUU